rnacentral:lncRNA from 1 species
AACGGUUCCUGAGAUAUGGCCGAGAGCCAUUCUUAUUGGAACACCCGGUACAUAUCCUUCUUAUAGGUGUCUCUUAAGGUUUCUGUUGGUCUACUAGUAUUAUUAUAUAUUUCUUAUUUAUUAUGAUUCCCAUAUCCUGUUUGCAUAUUUCUGUGCCUUUUGUGUUCUAUUUUGUCUAAGGCUUUCUCAGUCAACUAAACAUAUGCAUAGGUACGUCACAGUUAACAUUUCUACACCAUUUUAUGAGUGUAUAGUAGAUACCUAAUGCCUCUCUAGUGCCAAAUUCAUUUCUAAAUUCCAGUUGGUUUCCUCAGUCGCAUCCAUCAAGACUUUUAAAACAUGGUUCAUCAAGAUGAUCGUUUUAUAUUCUUCGCCUUUCAUUGCGUUGGGUUUUUUGAGUACCUAUUGGGAUGAACUCGGAUAUUAUCUAUUCUUUCGGAAUUUUCUCGGUAUAGUAAAUUUCAUUGAAUUAUUCUACUAGUAGGUAUAUUAAUGUGAUUCUCUUUUAAUAGUCUUUGUAGGUAUUUCAUUCGGUUCCAUGAUUUUAUAAUUUUUUAUGCAUUAUUAUCGUUAAUGUUUUGGAUAAAAAUCUUGAUGUUUUUUAUUUUUUAGUAAUAGUUCCUCAUUUGGGUAGUGCUACUAACAAUACACGAGAUGCCAUGUCAAAUUUAACAGCUCAAAACAUUUUACGAGGUCUAAGAGGAGAAGAAAUGGUGACACCUGUUGUCUAAAGUGUUAUACAUAUAGCUAUAUUUCUAAAAUUAUUUUUAUAUACAUCUAAUGAAUAAAAGUUAUUGAAGCAGUUGAACCCA